rnacentral:rRNA from 1 species
UAAACGACUCUCGGCAACGGAUAUCUCGGCUCUCGCAUCGAUGAAGAACGUAGCGAAAUGCGAUACUUGGUGUGAAUUGCAGAAUCCCGUGAACCAUCGAGUUUUUGAACGCAAGUUGCGCCCGAAGCCAUUAGGCCGAGGGCACGUCUGCUUGGGCGUCACACGUCGUUGCCCCCCCCCCCAACCCCUUCGGGAGUUGGAUGGGACGGAUGAUGGCCUCCCGUGUGCUCCGUCACGCGGUUGGCAUAAAUAACAA